rnacentral:tRNA from 1 species
UGUCCAAUGCGGGAAUCGAACCCGGGUCGUAGUGGUUGAAAACCAAACAGUUUAACCAGCCUUCCACUGACCCCCCCCCAGGAC